rnacentral:rRNA from 1 species
UUAUCCGGAUUUAUUGGGUUUAAAGGGAGCGUAGGUGGAUUGUUAAGUCAGUUGUGAAAGUUUGCGGCUCAACCGUAAAAUUGCAGUUGAAACUGGCAGUCUUGAGUACAGUAGAGGUGGGCGGAAUUCGUGGUGUAGCGGUGAAAUGCUUAGAUAUCACGAAGAACUCCGAUUGCGAAGGCAGCUCACUAGACUGUUACUGACACUGAUGCUCGAAAGUGUGGGUAUCAAACAGGAUUAGAUACCCUGGUAGUCCACACAGUAAACGAUGAAUACUCGCUGUUUGCGAUAUACAGUAAGCGGCCAAGCGAAAGCAUUAAGUAUUCCACCUGGGGAGUACGCCGGCAACGGUGAAACUCAAAGGAAUUGACGGGGGCCCGCACAAGCGGAGGAACAUGUGGUUUAA